rnacentral:rRNA from 1 species
UACGAAGGGUGCAAGCGUUACUCGGAAUUACUGGGCGUAAAGCGUGCGUAGGUGGUGAGUUAAGUCUGUCGUGAAAGCCCCGGGCUCAACCUGGGAACUGCGCUUGAGACUGCGGGACUGGAGUUCGGGGAGAGGAGAGCGGAAUUCCCAGUGUAGAGGUGAAAAUUCGUAGAUAUUGGGAAAAAACACCGGUGGCGAAGGCGGCUCUCUGGACCGACACUGACGCUGAGGCGCGAAAAGCGUGGGGGAGCAAACAGG